GAUGAAGAACGUAGCGAAAUGCGAUAAGUAAUGUGAAUUGCAGAAUUCAGUGAAUCAUCGAAUCUUUGAACGCACAUUGCGCCCGCCAGUAUUCUGGCGGGCAUGCCUGUCCGAGCGUCAUUUCAACCCUCGAACCCCUCCGGGGGGUCGGCGUUGGGGACCUCGGGAGCCCCUAAGACGGGAUCCCGGCCCCGAAAUACAGUGGCGGUCUCGCCGCAGCCUCUCCUGCGCAGUAGUUUGCACAACUCGCACCGGGAGCGCGGCGCAUCCACGUCCGUAAAACACCCAACUUCUGAAAUGUUGACCUCGGAUCAGGUAGGAAUACCCGCUGAACUUAAGCAUAUCAAUAAGCGGAGGA
rnacentral:misc_RNA from 1 species